GACAGAGGUGCCAAGCGUUAGGCGGAAUCACUGGGCUUAAAGCGUGUGUAGGCGGAAUUGUAAGUACCUUGUGAAAUCCCACGGCUCAACCGUGGAACUGCUUGGUAUACUGCUUUUCUUGAGCCACUUAGGGGCUGUCGGAACAAACGGUGGAGCGGUGAAAUGCGUAGAUAUCGGUUGGAACGCCAACGGUGAAAACAGACAGCUGGGAGGGUGCUGACGCUGAGACACGAAAGCCAGGGGAGCGAACGGG
rnacentral:rRNA from 1 species